GUGAAUAUAGUUUAUUUAAAACCCUAGCUUGUGAUCCUAGAAACGAGAACUAACUAUUCCCUAUUCACC
rnacentral:tRNA from 1 species